ACACGUAGGGGCCUGACGUUGUUCGGAAUCAUUGGGCGUAAAGGGCGCGCAGGCGGCCGUCCAAGUCCGGUGUUAAAUGGUCGGGCUCAACCCGAUCAUGCGCUGGAAACUGGGCGGCUUGAGUCCCGUAGGGGAUGCCGGAAUUCCAGGGGAAGGGGGGAAAUCUGUAGAUAUCUGGAAGAACACCGAUGGCGAAGGCAGGCAUCUGGCCGGAGACUGACGCUGAGGCGCGAAGGCGCGGGGAGCGAACAGGUUUAGAUACCCUGGUAGUCCGCGCAGUAAACGAUGCGCACCAGGUGUCGGGCGGCAGCGCCCGGUACCGGAGCUAACGCGAUGAGUGCGCCGCCUGGGGAGUAUGCCCGCAAGGGUGAAACUCAAAGGAAUUGACGGGG
rnacentral:rRNA from 1 species